AAGUGGAAGAUUAUGUCAGAGAGCUGUGUUUAGAGACGUUAUGCAACGACGUUUGUUCUUCUUUGACCAUGGUUAGAAGGAGUGAGUUAGUUUGGUAUUAUUUUUUUUCUCUUCAAUCCCUUAGCCUAAAACUGAAUUCUCAGUUCUCAGUUCCUUUACCGAUGUUCGUCGUUCUGUUGAAGCUUUAGCGAUCCUGGUUGUCGCACAUGUUGUAAAAUCUCCAUUAAGGAUUCAAUUUUUAGCAAGUGAUUGAGGCAGGGGGAUGGAAGAUUUGGACAGGGGAAGUGGAGUUGAAGAAUUGGAAGUCGUCAUUGGUUCUAACUUCUAAUCAAUUAAGUGCUCAUAAUCAAUUAAUGCAUGCUGAAAUACUGAAAACUCCCGACAGAGUUAGGAAUGUUGUUGUGGAUGGUGUUGGAAGUUCUAAUCAUAGGACCCCAUUACGCACUACAGAGAUUGUUCAUACCGUGUUUUGAGUGUUAUUGAGCCUCCUGCGGUCGGGAUGGUAUUUAAGACUUGGAAGGAUGUUGAAGCCUAUUACAAGGAAUAUGCUGAACAAAUGGGUUUUGGGGUUAGUAGGGUGCAAGGAUCAUUUUCAAAUAAGAAAGACUGCAUUGAAAGGGAGAGAAGGGGGACUACUUGGAGGUGUGAGUGUUGGGGUAGGCCGGACAUGAGGGCUGUGAGAGAGGCUAAGAAGAGAGCAAAAGCAAUGGGGGUGUGUGGUUCUGCGGGGGCUGUUGGUGGGAUUUUGGCAGACCAACAAUUGAAACAAGGCAAAAGGAAGUCUAAAAAGUGUGAGUGUGAAGCAAAGAUCUAUGCAAGUGUUAAUGAUGAAGGUGCGUGGGAAUUGAAAACUGUGGUACUGGGAAACGGCCACCUUUUGCUUCUGUAUUUAUGUAUUAAUGAUUGGAUGUGUAAUGGGUGACAUUAGUUGCUGUGGUUUUUGAAUGCCCCAUUGGAUUUAAGAUGCAUUAUUAGCUUGUUAACAAGUUGUAAUGGGUGACACUAGUUGUUGGUUUUUGAGUGCCCCAUUGGAUUUAAGAUGCAUUAGUACCUUGUUAACAACUUGUAAUGGGUGACAGUAGUUGCUGGUUUUUAAGUGGCCCAUUGGUUGGAUUAUGAUGCAUUAGCAGUAUAGACACUUCCUAGAUAUUAGGGUAAGCGUAUUCACCCCAGUAGUUGUGUUAGCGCUCUUUUGAAUGAAAUAUUGUGGGCUUUGAAGUGAAGUUGUAGUUGCAUUUUAACUUAAUUUGGAAACUUAGUAUUCUUCCC